rnacentral:lncRNA from 10 species
AUGCCCUGCUCAGUUGCUAUGUUGUAGUCCAUUUGGGCUGCUAUAACAACAUCCCACAGACCGGGUGGCUUAUAAGCAAGAGAAAUUCAUUUCCCAGUUGUGGAGGCUAGGGAGUACAAAUCAAGGCACUGGCAGAUUUGGAGUCAGGCAUGAGCCAGGAAAUGGGGCCCUUAGGUGGCAUCUUCUCAUUGUGUCCUCACAUGGUAAAAGGGGCAAGACAGCUCUCUGGGACCUCUUUUAUACUAAUCCCAUUCAUGAGGGCUCCACCCUCAUGACCUAAUCACCUCCCAAAGGCCUCAUCUCCUCAUACCAUCACAUUGGGGAUUAGGGUUCAACAUAUGAAUUUAGGGGAAUGCCAGCAUUCAGACCACGGCACUCAUCCUCCUGCAUCAUACCAUGGCAGCAUAAUUUGUUUUUUGUUUCUUGAGACAGAGUCUCACUGUGUCACCCAGGCUGGAGUGCAGUGGUACGAUCUCUGCUCACUGCAGCCUCCGCCUCCCAGCUUCAAGUGAUUCUCCUGCCUCAGCCUCCCCACAGCCACUCUCCAGACUUCCUAAGGAGCUUCUAGAAGCAGGGGCUGAAUCCAAGUUAGCCAGUUAUCCUGUCUUUCUAGUAAGGCUUCAAGGAUCAGAGACACUCCCACUUCCGCUCCUUCACCAUUCCCUUCUCCUUCUUCCAAGGCAUAGGCCUAAAAUCCAUCUCACUUACACUUUAAAAAAACAGGCAAGCUGGGCACUGCUGUCAUCUUCAUCUCAUAGAGGAGGAAGAAACCAAGCCUCCAAGAGGUGAAAGGAUUUGGCCAGGAUCAGACAGCGAGGAAGCAGUGAGCUGGGAUUCAAAGCCAGGCAUGCGAGCUCCAGGGCCCAAGCUCAUAAUCACUGUACUUCCACUGCCUCUCAGGAAAACAGGGCGGUUGAAUUUGAGUUUGGACAGAUUGCUCUAGCUGCUGUCCUAUGAGGGUCUAGUGAGAAGCCCCUUAGGACCUCAACUGCCCAGGCCCUCCCUAGGGAGUGGAGAGGAGAACGGGACCAGACAGAACAGAAACAGGCAGAGGGGAUCAGAUCUUGCUUCGAAUCAGAAGUCCAGUGUCCAAAUGCCCCUCCAAGGAGGCCCCACCUGAGUGUAGCUCAGAUCCCAGGAUUCAGGGGGAAUCCAUUGGGAACAAUACUGCAGGCAGUAGCUGGAGUCACAGGGUCAGGGUUCCCAGGGAGCGGUCCGACCAGGGCUGGGGAGGGAUCCUGGGCUGCAACACUGGGGCUGGAGAGCUGGGCAAGCUCUGUGAGCAGAAGACAGGUCACCUGGGCAUAGGGACAAAAUGGCAGGCAGUGGUGCCAGUAGUGGGGAUGGUAUAAGGUGAGUGGCUUCCUUGAGAGGAGGGGGAGGCCUUCUGGCCAGGAUGAGCUUGAAGUGGGGUCUGGAAGGGCUGGGCCCCUCCAGGGUGCCUCAGGAAUAACCACCACCCCCUUUAUCCCAUGUGAGGGAGACUAGAGAAUGUAAGAGGGUUUUGCACUUUGACCUUCCAUCUAGGAGAACUUUGGCGUCAACUCUGGAAGAACAAAGAGAAACAGAGAUGAGAGAGAAAGAGAGGAAAGAGAACAAGAGAGAAAGACUUGGUGGUCCCGAGUCUCCAUUCCAAUCCCUGGGGCCAACUCUGAUUCAGGCAUGUUAUUACAGAACACCCUCAGAAUGGCAACAGGUGUCCAGGUUUGAAUUCAAACACAGCCACCAACCGUGUGGCUGUGGCACUUUAACCAACCUCUUUGUUUCUCCAUUUUCUUCUCUGUAAAAUGAGAAUUAUAAUAUUGUCAGGGCUGCUGUGAGAUUCAAAGAGUUCAUGAGGGUAAAGUGCCCUGGCAUAGCAUCAUGCUUAAUGGAUGGUUAUUGCUACUCUGAAUGAUAGUGAAUGAGGGGUCCCUGGGAGCCUCCCCCAUGCUCUGGUUUAGCAAGGAAGAUUUAAAAAAAAAAAAAAAAAUCCUAGAAAGAAUGGAAUUAAUUCCCCACCAAGAAACAGAACAGGCCAGGUGCAAUGGCUCAUGCCUGUAAUCCCAGCACUUUCAGAGGUUGAGGGGGGUGGAUUGUUUGAGCUCAGGAAUUGUAGGGGAGAUGUCAUUAUCACCAUUUGACAGGUAUGGUUCAGAAAGGUUAAGUGACUUGCCCAAAGCCACACAGCUAUGAAGGGAUUUACAGCCACACUGGAAUUAGGGG